GUUAAAUAAUUAUUUGUAAUAUAUUUUUUGUGGUUAUAUGUUAUUCGUCUUUCAAGAUAUCUGGUUUUUUUAGGAAAUUAAUUUAAUUAAGCUGAAUUUAGGAUUUGGUUAUUUUUUUAUCUUUUAUCUGAAUUUAUGUAAUGUUUAAGGGGAUAAGCUUUUGAACAAAUUUUUAUAAUAAGUUAUUUUUAUUUAAUGUAGUAGGAAUAGGAGUUUUUAUCUAUUGAAGUGUAUUAUUACUUGAUUUUAUUAAUGUGUAAUUUUUUUUUAUUUAUUUUUUUACUAGGAUUAUGAUUUUAAUUUUGUUUUUUAUGAAAUAAUGAUUGAAUUAGUAUAUUAGUUUGUUUAUUGUUUAGUUUUUGUUAGGUUAUUUAAAGGAAUUCGGCAAUUAAAUUUUCUGCCUGUUUAUUAAAAACAUGGCCUUUUGGAAAUAAUUUAAGGUCUGACCUGCUCUAUGAUUAAUUAAAUGGCUGCGGUAUUUUGACCGUGCAAAGGUAGCAUAAUCAUUAGUUUUUUAAUUGGAAGCUGGUAUGAAUGGUUGGACAAGAGAAUUACUGUCUCUGGAUAAUUUUAUUUGAAUUUUAUUUUUUAGUGAAAAAGCUGGAAUUUUUUUGAGGGACGAGAAGACCCUAUAGAAUUUUAUAGGUUAUUUUUGAUAAGGUUUUUAGUAUAGUUUGCUAAGUUGAGAAUGACUUGUUUUGUUGGGGUGAUGGAAAAAUUUGAUUAACUUUUUUUUUUAUUGUGCACUGAUGAGUGAUUUUUUGAUCCAUAAAUUAUGAUUAUAAGAUUAAAUUACCUUAGGGAUAACAGCGUUAUUAGUUUGGAGAGUUCAUAUCGAUAAAUUAGAUUGCG
rnacentral:rRNA from 1 species